UUAAGCGACUAAGCGUACACGGUGGAUGCCCUGGCAGUCAGAGGCGAUGAAGGACGUGCUAAUCUGCGAUAAGCGUCGGUAAGGUGAUAUGAACCGUUAUAACCGGCGAUUUCCGAAUGGGGAAACCCAGUGUGAUUCGUCACACUAUCAUUAACUGAAUCCAUAGGUUAAUGAGGCGAACCGGGGGAACUGAAACAUCUAAGUACCCCGAGGAAAAGAAAUCAACCGAGAUUCCCCCAGUAGCGGCGAGCGAACGGGGAGGAGCCCAGAGCCUGAAUCAGUGUGUGUGUUAGUGGAAGCGUCUGGAAAGGCGCGCGAUACAGGGUGACAGCCCCGUACACAAAAAUGCACAUACUGUGAGCUCGAUGAGUAGGGCGGGACACGUGGUAUCCUGUCUGAAUAUGGGGGGACCAUCCUCCAAGGCUAAAUACUCCUGACUGACCGAUAGUGAACCAGUACCGUGAGGGAAAGGCGAAAAGAACCCCGGCGAGGGGAGUGAAAAAGAACCUGAAACCGUGUACGUACAAGCAGUGGGAGCACAGAGCAAUCUGUGUGACUGCGUACCUUUUGUAUAAUGGGUCAGCGACUUAUAUUCUGUAGCAAGGUUAACCGAAUAGGGGAGCCGAAGGGAAACCGAGUCUUAACCGGGCGUUAAGUUGCAGGGUAUAGACCCGAAACCCGGUGAUCUAGCCAUGGGCAGGUUGAAGGUUGGGUAACACUAACUGGAGGACCGAACCGACUAAUGUUGAAAAAUUAGCGGAUGACUUGUGGCUGGGGGUGAAAGGCCAAUCAAACCGGGAGAUAGCUGGUUCUCCCCGAAAGCUAUUUAGGUAGCGCCUCGUGAAUUCAUCUCCGGGGGUAGAGCACUGUUUCGGCAAGGGGGUCAUCCCGACUUACCAACCCGAUGCAAACUGCGAAUACCGGAGAAUGUUAUCACGGGAGACACACGGCGGGUGCUAACGUCCGUCGUGAAGAGGGAAACAACCCAGACCGCCAGCUAAGGUCCCAAAGUCAUGGUUAAGUGGGAAACGAUGUGGGAAGGCCCAGACAGCCAGGAUGUUGGCUUAGAAGCAGCCAUCAUUUAAAGAAAGCGUAAUAGCUCACUGGUCGAGUCGGCCUGCGCGGAAGAUGUAACGGGGCUAAACCAUGCACCGAAGCUGCGGCAGCGACACUGUGUGUUGUUGGGUAGGGGAGCGUUCUGUAAGCCUGUGAAGGUGUGCUGUGAGGCAUGCUGGAGGUAUCAGAAGUGCGAAUGCUGACAUAAGUAACGAUAAAGCGGGUGAAAAGCCCGCUCGCCGGAAGACCAAGGGUUCCUGUCCAACGUUAAUCGGGGCAGGGUGAGUCGACCCCUAAGGCGAGGCCGAAAGGCGUAGUCGAUGGGAAACAGGUUAAUAUUCCUGUACUUGGUGUUACUGCGAAGGGGGGACGGAGAAGGCUAUGUUGGCCGGGCGACGGUUGUCCCGGUUUAAGCGUGUAGGCUGGUUUUCCAGGCAAAUCCGGAAAAUCAAGGCUGAGGCGUGAUGACGAGGCACUACGGUGCUGAAGCAACAAAUGCCCUGCUUCCAGGAAAAGCCUCUAAGCAUCAGGUAACAUCAAAUCGUACCCCAAACCGACACAGGUGGUCAGGUAGAGAAUACCAAGGCGCUUGAGAGAACUCGGGUGAAGGAACUAGGCAAAAUGGUGCCGUAACUUCGGGAGAAGGCACGCUGAUAUGUAGGUGAAGUCCCUCGCGGAUGGAGCUGAAAUCAGUCGAAGAUACCAGCUGGCUGCAACUGUUUAUUAAAAACACAGCACUGUGCAAACACGAAAGUGGACGUAUACGGUGUGACGCCUGCCCGGUGCCGGAAGGUUAAUUGAUGGGGUCAGCGCAAGCGAAGCUCUUGAUCGAAGCCCCGGUAAACGGCGGCCGUAACUAUAACGGUCCAAGGUAGCGAAAUUCCUUGUCGGGUAAGUUCCGACCUGCAGAAUGGCGUAAUGAUGGCCAGGCUGUCUCCACCCGAGACUCAGUGAAAUUGAACUCGCUGUGAAGAUGCAGUGUACCCGCGGCAAGACGGAAAGACCCCGUGAACCUUUACUAUAGCUUGACACUGAACAUUGAGCCUUGAUGUGUAGGAUAGGUGGGAGGCUUUGAAGUGUGGACGCCAGUCUGCAUGGAGCCGACCUUGAAAUACCACCCUUUAAUGUUUGAUGUUCUAACGUGGACCCGUGAUCCGGGUUGCGGACAGUGUCUGGUGGGUAGUUUGACUGGGGCGGUCUCCUCCUAAAGAGUAACGGAGGAGCACGAAGGUUGGCUAAUCCUGGUCGGACAUCAGGAGGUUAGUGCAAUGGCAUAAGCCAGCUUGACUGCGAGCGUGACGGCGCGAGCAGGUGCGAAAGCAGGUCAUAGUGAUCCGGUGGUUCUGAAUGGAAGGGCCAUCGCUCAACGGAUAAAAGGUACUCCGGGGAUAACAGGCUGAUACCGCCCAAGAGUUCAUAUCGACGGCGGUGUUUGGCACCUCGAUGUCGGCUCAUCACAUCCUGGGGCUGAAGUAGGUCCCAAGGGUAUGGCUGUUCGCCAUUUAAAGUGGUACGCGAGCUGGGUUUAGAACGUCGUGAGACAGUUCGGUCCCUAUCUGCCGUGGGCGCUGGAGAACUGAGGGGGGCUGCUCCUAGUACGAGAGGACCGGAGUGGACGCAUCACUGGUGUUCGGGUUGUCAUGCCAAUGGCACUGCCCGGUAGCUAAAUGCGGAAGAGAUAAGUGCUGAAAGCAUCUAAGCACGAAACUUGCCCCGAGAUGAGUUCUCCCUGACCCUUUAAGGGUCCUGAAGGAACGUUGAAGACGACGACGUUGAUAGGCCGGGUGUGUAAGCGCAGCGAUGCGUU
rnacentral:rRNA from 1 species